rnacentral:rRNA from 1 species
GCAGUAGCCACGGUAAUACAGAGGGUGCAAGCGUUAAUCGGAAUUACUGGGCGUAAAGCGCGCGUAGGUGGUUUGUUAAGUUGGAUGUGAAAUCCCCGGGCUCAACCUGGGAACUGCAUCCAAAACUGGCAAGCUAGAGUAUGGUAGAGGGUGGUGGAAUUUCCUGUGUAGCGGUGAAAUGCGUAGAUAUAGGAAGGAACACCAGUGGCGAAGGCGACCACCUGGACUGAUACUGACACUGAGGUGCGAAAGCGUGGGGAGCAAACAGGAUUAGAUACCCCAGUAGUCCCUGUCUCUUAUAC